rnacentral:rRNA from 1 species
GAUGAACGCUGACAGCAUGCUUAACACAUCAGCAAUUGAUUGGUGGCGGACGGGUGAGUAACGCUUAAAGAACUUGCCUCACAGCUAGGGACAACAUUUAGAAAAGAAUGCUAAUACUUGAUACUGUGAGAGGGCUUUGCGUCCCCUUAGCUAGUUGGUGCGGUAACAGCUCACCAAGGCGAAGAUGGGUCGCCGGCCUGAGAGGGUGAACGGCCACAAGGGGACUGAGACACGGCCCUUACGCCUACGGGAGGCAGCAGUAGGGACUAUGGGACAAUGGACCGAAGUCUGAUCCAGCAAUUCUGUGGGCACGAUGAAGUUUUCGGAAUGUAAAGUGCUUUCAGUUGGGAAGCGGUACCAAAAGAAGAAGUGACGGCUAAAUACGUGCCAGCAGCCGCGGUAAUAC